CCGAGGCGACGCGCGUUAAGCCUUGCGAGGGUUCGAGCAGGCGUGCCGCACUCUCUCCCCGUGGGCGUCUGGCUGCGUGAGUCAUCCCCCCGUGCGUUCUUUCGCGCGGACAAAUUCGUUUAGACAUUUUCAUUUGGUGCGCAAAUUGGGAACGGGGAUAUUACGAUGCACUGUGAAAGGGAAAAGUGAGGCCUCUUUUGCUAACUGCCACAUGGGACCUGGAUUCAAACGCAUUCUACUUCACUCAUGAAGAUAGCAGCUUGUCAGAAAGCACCUUCUGAUCUGUGGAACAGAAGACAAAAUGGCCGCCACAGAAGAAUUGCUGGUGCAGGCCUGCUCGAGGUAAUCAGCCAUGCAAGAUGUCUGCCUUCACGGUCUGGGGGUUUUUUAUGGACGACAUUAUUCUUCUUGCCAAAGGGAGAUUAGAUAUUCUGGGAUUCCUCCUCAGAUGCCUGCAGUUAAGUAUCUUGGUCUUAAAUAAACUUUGACAAGAGAUAACAUUAUGUUGACUAUGUGGAAACCUCUUCUGGAGAGGUACUACAACAAAGAAAACAUUCUUAUGUAAAAGGUGCGCAUUGCGUGUGUGCUAUCUUGUCAAAUAAAUAUCAUUAUGUGUGUG